rnacentral:lncRNA from 1 species
GUGGUAACUGCCAAGUACUUCCCAUACUAGAUCUGGAACUGGAUCUCACCUUUCAUUUUAGGUGUUGUGUAUCCCUCUUCUAGACUGUGAAUCCUUAUCAUUAUCCAAGACUCCAGGAGAAGACCAUGAGUGCUGGGGAAGAGGGACUGAGGGAAUAACACAUCCAUGGGGACUGAAACUUUUAAAGCAGAAAUUGCAGGAGCUUCAGUUACACCAGGAUGAUUGGGAAGAGCCAAAGAGGUGGUGCCAUCAUGGUGACAAAGAUUUUACCUCCUAAAUUUUGCUUCUUGAGCUAGAAGUGAUAAGUUUCAAUAAAUAACAGAGAUCGUGAGUUAUAAGCCA